rnacentral:misc_RNA from 1 species
AACAGCAUCUGACCCAUCUCCAGCAAAAGUUGGUCGUGGCAAGGACCAUAAGCCAUAUGUUAGGCGCCAUUUGCUUGAAGAUUUAUCUCGUGAACUUGGCUUCGAUGAAGAUUCUGAGAAAGCAGGCUGUGAUGGAGUUUCCGGUCAGAAGGACCAUAUCUGUGCAGCAGUUGGGGUGGAGGAUCGGGAUUGUCUAAAUAAGUACUUCACUUGUGCAGCUGAGGAGAGAUGUCCGAGUGGAAAUGCUGGCAGUGAGGAAAACUCAUCUGUAU